ensembl:lncRNA
CAAGGGCAGUAACUGCAAAACAAACAUCAAGCGAAACUCUUUAUUCCUGAUUACCUGUUCUAGUAUUCCUGGAUUAUUUUUAAUGUUACAUAUUUAUGCUCCAUACAGCUGAAAUGAGUAGUACGCCAAAAAAUGUUUUGAACUUUACUUUUAGAUUUCUGUGUUCUAUGAUCAACAUUGCUGAAGACAAGAAAGAAAUCAAUUCUUUUCAUAUGAGCGGGAAGAUUUGCCUCUGAGAGGAAAAUGUUUCUAUGGCUAUACAGGUGUUAGGAAUGAUGAAUUAGAGAAUUCCUCCAUGAUGGCAUCUAGCACACUUUAUGCUGAAGCAGAAGAGCAUGAAAUGUAGACUACUGAAGACCAACAUAAGCAAUAAUUGGAUGCAAGCUGGUGCCUCCCUGCUUCCUCUUAUCUGCUGUCUUUGCAAGGCCUGGAAGACGAGAAUAAAGGAGUUCCUGUUGAGAUCUAAAAGCCAGAAGCUGCCACUGCAAAAGAGCUGACCCAACCACUUUGGACUAUAAGAGUUUCUACUGUCGUUGAAAGAGUCAUCCACUGAACAACACAACUUCCCACAACCCAUCGCUAUUGAAUAUCAUCAUCUGACACUAGGAGCAACGCUGGAACUAUGGUGCUAUUGCUCUUGUGAAUCAUGCAGAUACCCAUGACCAGAUGAUAUGGGAUUCCAGUAUUUAACAGCUUUCACUAAACCGCUUGGAGGACUUCUUUGUUAUUCAAACCGUGAGGUGAAAGACUAGCUGCAAACCACCUGCCCGCCAGCCAUGGACACCUUCAAGAAACAAUGGGCUGGUGUCAAAGACUGCACUAAAUGACCCCUGUGCAUUCAGGACGAUGCUUUCACAAAUUAAUCAAUACAUGCCAAAACCAAACCCUCCCAAAGCUGCAUGCUAUUUCAAGGCUUUCUGAAUGAUAUUCCACUUUGGACACUCAAAUUGGAUUGCUGAUAUUAAAAACAGAUCUUCAGCUCACUGGAAUGAAUGCACUGAACAAAAGAACUUGAAAUAAAAAAAUGUAAACAGCCUCCUCAUUACUUCCUCAUAAAAAUUCAAAAGAUAAUAAAGUAUUUUGAUUCUGUAGGAAGAAUGGUAAUGGAAAGGCUAAUUAUUUACAGUAAAUAAUGUCCUUAAUUUUGGUUUUGCCUGCCUUUUAAGAGACGCAAAUCAUUCUCAUAUUAAUGAAUAUGGACAGAAUGAAGUGAUUAGAGUAGAAUUCAAUAAUAAUAAACUAUCCAAACAGUUGGAAGUGUUUUAAAAGUGAUCCAUUUGCUUUUUCACAUAUUCUUGUGAGCACCAAAUCAGUACACAUGAAAACUCAUAUCUAGAAUUAGUAGGAAAUAAUAGUCUUAUUCUGAAAAUAAGUAAUUUUACUUAUAAGAACUCCUGUUAGUACUAGUCACAAGAAUGGCUAUUUUCACCCAUAUAGAAAGAUGCAACUGUGAUGGCUGAAAUAGGCAUCAGUGUUUCAUGAUUUGGGAAAAAAAAACAAACCACUGUCUAACUAUGUCUACAUUUAUUAUUUUUAAUUGAAAAAGUCAAUGAUGAGAAUUCAAGUGUUAUUUUAGUGCAAUAUGUUUGUUCGCUUUGAAUUUAGUAACACCGAGCAGACAAUCAUAAAAUCACUUAUUUCAGAAAUCUAAACCAA